GCGCUUGUCGAGUUUUCCGCUCAUGCCUGCCCUUUUCUCUCUCCGGGUGCGCCGGAUACGUCAGAUGCGGCGACAGAGGGCUAGCUGGAAACACGACAACGGCCGGCCCUUGCCCUAUGCGCCGCGCUCCUCACUCCCACGUCGGCGCUGUAGAGGUGCUGUUCGCUCACGCCCGCCUCCUGUGCCAACGGGGGAGGAGGAGGGCCGCUGCUUCUUGCGCAGGUGGAGCGAGACCGCGGAGGAGAAGGACGGGGCAGAACUCACGGUCGAGAGCGAGACGAUCUGUCAUUGUGCGACGGAACGAUAUUGUGACGAAGCACGAAAACGAAGAAGUGAUGAUGGGGUGCAGUGCAGUGGGCGCGUUCAUCUCGUCGCAUCGGCACCACGUGUACGCCAUAUCGUGCCGCGUGAUUGCCGGCUCGCCUACCUGCGGUGCUCCAAGAUCCCUCUCUCUCGCGCGCGCUCGCGCCUACUUGGGUUUUCUGGCUUACAGGAAGGAUUCGACUUGUCUCACGUCACUCCUGGGCACUUGUAUGGAGCCCGCGAUCGCAGUACCUCCCCCCAUGUCGGGUGAUGGUACGAGACCCUCGUCUCGGCCACCCUUUGUUGUGGGAGUCAGGCGGACUGCGCGAUGGACGCCGCAGCCGCGAGCUCGAAUCACGGAGCAGCAGUGACAGCGGUGUAUUCCUGCACUGUUUGGUUGAUAGGUCUUCUCGCUACCUUGAAGGCUCACCCACCGAUGCGCCUGACACUUUCCCGUGCUCUUCUGUACAUCUGAGAGGUUUUGUGGCCGCCUCUGCUCUGCCUUCUGGCACCACACACACGCACACCCCAG
rnacentral:misc_RNA from 1 species